rnacentral:rRNA from 1 species
GAUGAACGCUAGCGGCAGGCUUAACACAUGCAAGUCGAGGGGUAGAAGUCUUCGGNCUUUGAGACCGGCGCACGGGUGCGUAACGCGUAUGCAAUCUGCCUUUCACAGAGGGAUAGCCCAGAGAAAUUUGGAUUAAUACCUCAUAGUAUUAUGGAGUGGCAUCACUUUAUAAUUAAAGUCACAACGGUGAAAGAUGAGCAUGCGUCCCAUUAGCUGGUUGGUAAGGUAACGGCUUACCAAGGCUACGAUGGGUAGGGGUCCUGAGAGGGAGAUCCCCCACACUGGUACUGAGACACGGACCAGACUCCUACGGGAGGCAGCAGUGAGGAAUAUUGGUCAAUGGACGCAAGUCUGAACCAGCCAUGCCGCGUGCAGGAUGACGGUCCUAUGGAUUGUAAACUGCUUUUGUACGAGAAGAAACACUCCUAUGUAUAGGAGCUUGACGGUAUCGUAAGAAUAAGGAUCGGCUAACUCCGUGCCAGCAGCCGCGGUAAUACGGAGGAUCCAAGCGUUAUCCGGAAUCAUUGGGUUUAAAGGGUCCGUAGGCGGUUUAGUAAGUCAGUGGUGAAAGCCCAUCGCUCAACGGUGGAACGGCCAUUGAUACUGCUGAACUUGAAUUACUGGGAAGUAACUAGAAUAUGUAGUGUAGCGGUGAAAUGCUUAGAUAUUACAUGGAAUACCAAUUGCGAAGGCAGGUUACUACCAGUUUAUUGACGCUGAUGGACGAAAGCGUGGGGAGCGAACAGGAUUAGAUACCCUGGUAGUCCACGCCGUAAACGAUGGAUACUAGCUGUUGGGCGCAAGUUCAGUGGCUAAGCGAAAGUGAUAAGUAUCCCACCUGGGGAGUACGAACGCAAGUUUGAAACUCAAAGGAAUUGACGGGGGCCCGCACAAGCGGUGGAGCAUGUGGUUUAAUUCGAUGAUACGCGAGGAACCUUACCAAGGCUUAAAUGCAGACUGACCGAUUUGGAAACANAUCUUUCGCAAGACAGUUUACAAGGUGCUGCAUGGUUGUCGUCAGCUCGUGCCGUGAGGUGUCAGGUUAAGUCCUAUAACGAGCGCAACCCCUGUUGUUAGUUGCCAGCGAGUAGUGUCGGGAA